GGGAUUGUGGCUCAAUGGUAGAGUACUUGCCUCUCAUACAUGAGACCCUGGGUUUGAUCCUCAGCACCA
rnacentral:tRNA from 1 species